GUUUGCUCAUGGCUCAGAUUGAACGUUGGCGGCAGGCCUAAUACAUGCAAGUCGAGCGGUAACAGAUCUAGCUUGCUAGAUGCUGACGAGCGGCGGACGGGUGAGUAACGCGUAGGAAUCUAUCCAGUAGCGGGGGAUAGCCCAGGGAAACAUACCGCAUACGCCCCACGGGGGAAAGGCCGGGAUCUAUUUAUAGACCGGUCACUAUUGGAGGAGCCUGCGUUAGAUUAGCUAGUUGGUAGGGUAAAGGCCUACCAAGGCGACGAUCUAUAGCUGUUCUGAGAGGAAGAUCAGCCACACUGGAACUGAGACACGGUCCAGACUCCUACGGGAGGCAGCAGUAGGGAAUAUUGUGCAAUGGGGGAAACCCUGACACAGCCAUGCCGCGUGUGUGAAGAAGGCCCUAGGGUUGUAAAGCACUUUCAGUAGGGAGGAUAAGGUUGGAUUAAUAAUCUUAGUUCUAUGACGUUACCCGCAGAAGAAGUACCGGCUAACUCCGUGCCAGCAGCCGCGGUAAUACGGAGGGUACAAACGUUAAUCGGAAUUACUGGGCGUAAAGCGCGCGUAGGUGGUUUAUUAAGUGGGAUGUGAAAGCCCCGGGCUUAACCUGGGAAGGUCAGAUCAUACUGUAUUAGCUAGAGUACAGUAGAGAGAAGCGGAAUUUCUAGUGUAGCGGUGAAAUGCGUAGAUAUUAGAAGGAACACCAGUGGCGAAGGCGACUUUCUGGGCUGAUACUGACACUGAGGCGCGAAAGCGUGGGGAGCGAACAGGAUUAGAUACCCUGGUAGUCCACGCUGUGAACGAUGAAAACUAGAUGUCUGUGUCUUCGGACGUGGGUAUCGCAGCUAACGCAUUAAGUGAACCGCCUGGGGAGUACGGCCGCAAGGCUAAAGCUCAAAUGAAUUGACGGGGGCCCGCACAAGCGGUGGAGCAUGUGGUUUAAUUCGAUGCAACGCGAAGAACCUUACCUACCCUUGACAUUAAGAGAGUCUUGCAGAGAUGCGAGAGUGCCUUCGGGAGCUCUUGGACAGGUGCUGCAUGGCUGUCGUCAGCUCGUGUCGUGAGAUGUUUGGUUAAGUCCAGCAACGAGCGCAACCCUUAUCGUUAGUUGCCAGCACGUAAUGGUGGGAACUCUAACGAGACUGCCCGGGUUAACCGGGAGGAAGGCGGGGAUGACGUCAAGUCCUCAUGGCCCUUAUAUCCAGGGCUACACACGUGCUACAAUGGUAAGUACAGAGGGCAGCAAGCCCAGCGAUGGUUAGCUAAUCCCUAAAGCUUAUCUCAGUCCGGAUUGGAGUCUGCAACUCGACUCCAUGAAGUUGGAAUCGCUAGUAAUCGCGGAUCAGCAUGCCGCGGUGAAUAUGUUCCCGGGCCUUGUACACACCGCCCGUCACACCAUGGGAGUUGAUUAUACCCGACGUCAGUUGGUUAUUGGGCCGCCUACCACGGUAUGAUUCAUGACUGGGGUGAAGUCGUAACCAAGGUAACCGU
rnacentral:rRNA from 1 species